AUUGAACGCUGGCGGCAUGCCUUACACAUGCAAGUCGAACGGCAGCACGGGUGCUUGCCCCUGGUGGCGAUUGGCGAACGGGUGAGUAAUACAUCGGAACAUGUCCUGUAGUGGGGGAUAGCCCGUCGAAAGCCGGAUUAAUACCGCAUACGAUCUACGGAUGAAAGCGGGGGACCUUCGGGCCUCGCGCUAUCGGGUUGGCCGAUGGCUGAUUAGCUAGUUGGUGGGGUAAAGGCCUACCAAGGCGACGAUCAGUAGCUGGUCUGAGAGGACGACCAGCCACACUGGGACUGAGACACGGCCCAGACUCCUACGGGAGGCAGCAGUGGGGAAUUUUGGACAAUGGGCGAAAGCCUGAUCCAGCAAUGCCGCGUGUGUGAAGAAGGCCUUCGGGUUGUAAAGCACUUUUGUCCGGAAAGAAAUCCUUGGCCCUAAUACGGUCGGGGGAUGACGGUACCGGAAGAAUAAGCACCGGCUAACUACGUG
rnacentral:rRNA from 1 species